ensembl:lncRNA
UUUUGAGCCUCCUUUGUUUAAAAUCAUCCUCACCUCCUUGGGCCCUCUGCUGGUUCUCCUCUGUGCCCUAAACUUGCCUGUGCUGAAAUAAUCGUUUCCUUGUAUGGAGGCUUCUGGGCUAUUUUCACAGAGGUCUUUCUCUGCAGUUGCUCCUAAUGCACACAACAUCAACUACUUCUGUUUCUACAGCUACUGCUGUUUCUAAUGAUCCAGGCAAUGCUGGUAGCUGAAGCGUUUUCCUCCAUGUGCCCAGUCUGCUAUCCUGGGGAUGACUUCUUUCUGCCCAUUGUGAGCUAUACUUCUAAGGACUUGUCCAUCAUGCCCCACUCCCCUGCCCCCACCACCCCCACCCCAUCUGCCAUGGGCUGGACUACAGUGGCCUGCAAACAUUAUUACUUCUCACAUCACUGAGGGAGAUGUGUGAGGCAGGGGUAGGGGGAAGAUUGGAAGCUGCUCGUCUCUGUUGGAUAUUUUUUGAGGUCCAUACUCGAAUUUGAUCACAGCUCACAUUGCAGUGGUAUGCCUUCUUGUGGCUCAGUGGUGAAGAAUCCGCCUUCUGAUGCAGGAGACAAAGGAGUCUCAGGUUCAAUCCCUGGGCUGGGAAGAUCCCUUGGGGGAGGAAAUGGAACCCGCUCCAGUAUUCUUGCCUGGAAAAUCUCAUGAACAGAGGAGGCUGGUGGGCUAUAGUUCAUGGGGUCGCAAAGAGUUGGACACGACUGAGCAACUGACCACACCCGAAAGCAUGCAUUCUUGUGUUCAGUUCAGUUUAGUUCAUUCCAGUCGCUCAGUCGUGUCCAGCUCUUUGCGACCCCAUGGACUGCAGCAUACCAGGCUUCUCUGUCCAUCACCAACUCCUGGAGCUUGCUCUAACUCAUGUCCUUCGAGUCAGUGAUGCCAUCCAACUAUUUCAUCCUCUGCUAUCCCCUUCUCCUCCUGCCUUCAAUCUUUCCCAGCAUCAGGGUCUUUUCCCAAGGAGUCAGUUCUUUGCAUCAGGUGGCCAAAGUAUUGGAGUUUUGGCUUCAGCCCCAGUCCUUCCAAUGAAUAGUCAGGACUGAUUUCCUUUAGGAAUGACUAGUUUAAUCUCCUUGCAGUCCAAGGGACUCUCAAGAGUCUUCUCCAACACCACAGUUCAAAAGCAUCAAUUCUUCGGUGCUCAGCUUUCUUUAUCGUCCAGCUCUCACAUCCAAAAAUGACUACUGGAAAAAGCAUUACUUUGACUAGAUGGACCUUUGUUAGUAAAGUAAUGUCUCUGCUUUUUAAUAUGCUGUCUAGGUUGGUCAUGACUUUUCUUCCAAGGAGUAAGCAUCUUUUAAUUUCAUGGCAGCAGCCACCAUCUGCAGUGAUUUUGGAGCCCCCCAAAAUAAAGUCUUUCACUGUUUCCAUUGUUUCCCCACCUAUUUGCCAUGAAGUGAUAGGACUGGAUGCCAUGAUCUUAGUUUUCUGAGUGUUGCGUUUUAAGCCAGCUUUUUCACUCUCCUCUUUCACUUUCAUCAAGUGAAAGUGAUUCUAAUUCUUCGCUUUCUGCCAUAAGGGUGGUGUCAUCUGAGAAUCUGAGGUUAUUGAUAUUUCUCCCGGCAAUCUUGAUUCCAGCUUGUGCAUCAUUCAGCCUGGGAUUUGGCAUGAUGUACUCUGCAUAUAAGUUAAAUAAGCAGGGUGACAAUAUAUAGCCUUGACGUAAUCAUUUAGCCUUCUUGUGUGGUCAUAUCAAAUUCUCUUCUCUGGAGAGUAUCAUAAUCAAGGGUGUCUAUCACUUGGCCAUGGUGCAGCUUCCUGGAACCUAAAACUCCCAUAUAUUUAAUGGUGUUACCAUUUCCAAAAUAUUGGGCCCCAGGUCCCAGGAAAAAAAUGACACCAAAUCAUUCAUCCAAGGGAAAUUGGUUUCCUCUAUUACUUUGGGAGCCAUUUUUAAUAAGAAAGAAAUCUGACCAGGCAGGUGAUUUGGCAGUACUGUUUGUCUUAAAAGUAAUCAAAGGAAAUAGAGAAAACAUGAGAAACAUUGUAUAAACCCUAAUGGGGUGCCUGGUGGUCACAUAUUAGAUGCUGAGUUAAACUGGGCUGAAUGGAAACCUGAGUGGAGCUGUGUUCACUGCAGAGAGCUCUCACAUUGAAAGCACAGCAGGUUUGAUAAUAAGUAUUUCCUUCUAGAUGUUGUUCAUAUUGAGCUGUUUACUCACACCCUCCUGAACAUUUAAACCUUUCUGGCUAGAUUAUAUAGUUGUAAGACCAGAUCCAUGAAUGGUCAGUGUCAUUACCGUAUGUUUGUAACAGUAUUUCACUGCAUGUCUUACCAGUCUGUGGAAACAUCCAAGAGAGAUCUUGGCAAUAGAACUAGAAAUUGCUAAUAAAAGAUAGGAAUGCUGAUGUCCAGGCUCAUUAUAACCCAAGAUCUCACUGCAGGCUUUCCUCAGAGCUGGGGGAAAUGUAUGUGUGAAAUAGACUUUGCAGUGGUGUCCGUUUGAUUCUAAUUCUUGUCAGCUACAUAAUAAUGCCCUCUAUUCUGAAUAUUGUAUAAUAAAAGGCAGGAAAAUGAACAUGGAGGUUUUUAUUUUACCUUGAGUUUUGUGUAAUCUGAACUGUGGUAACUCUAAAACAAAGCAUGUCCUUGGAAUUUAAUGACUAGAUAGGCUUAAUAGAGGAUAAAUAGACCAGAUAAUGAUAAAUACACCAGGAUUGUAAUAGAUUAAAUAUUAUCCUAUAAAAUUAGGAAAUAUCAAGCAUUUAUGUUCAGAACUGUGUGUCUGACAGGAAGCUGAUUCAACACAUUAACUAAUACAUUACUGAAAACUCUAUAGCAGGAUGGGGAUUACCAUGAUUGUCGUGGAGUCAGAAUACCUAAUUAAUUAAUCCCUAUUUAUAGAGCAGCACAGGUCUUAACCAGGAAUGCCUUUUCCACCUCAUCUCUUUCUACUAUUCUACUCCACCAGGAGUUAAACAAAAGUUCUUUAAAAAGUUCAAACUUCUUUCAUCAAUCAGGAGGCCAGAAGCACAGAAUCCCUGUUCCCUGCUCCUCUGUUAGUUUUCUAGGGUGGUUGUAACAAAAUACUGCAGCCUACAUGCUUAAACAACAUAGCGUUUUUUCUCCCCCAGUCCUGGAGGUCAGAAGUCUGAGGUCAAGGUAACAUCAGUCGGGCUGCUGUCUUCUGGGGGCUGUGACGGGAAUCUGCUCCAUGCCUCCUUCCAGCUUCUGGUGAUUUUCUGGGAAUCUUUGGAGUUCCUUGCCUUGCAGACACAUUACCCUGACCUCUGCCUUCUGUUGACUUGGUCUUCUCUCUGUGUCUAUCACUGUCCACACUGAUCAUUUUUAUAAGGAUACCAGUCAUAUUGGGUUCAGACCCCACUAAUGACCUAAUUUAAUGUUAUUUGCAAAAGCCCUAUUCAAAAAAAAAAAUCAUCACAUUCUGAGAUACUAGACUUAGAAUUUCAACGCAUUUUACUGGUUGGAACAAAGUUUAACCCAUAACACCAUGAUUCCACCAAACCGGGUCUCCUAUCUGAUCUGACUGAUGUUAAGUCAUAGGCAGAGUAUCAGUGUAAAUUGCUAGAUCCUCUGGAUUUCUGGGGAAACAGGGAUUUGGUGACGGUAUAUGCUUUCUCCUUUGCUCUCAUCAGGUAAGACCAUCCCCAGAAGAUGUGGUGACCAGGACCAAGCAGUAGCUGAUCUCUUUCCUAGAUGGUGCUUAUACAUGCAUGUGGGCAUACACAACACCCUCCACACACACACACAUCUAAGGAAUCUGUGUAAAAAUAAAUAUUGAAAGCAAACUGGAUGGGGAAUAUGUGUAUACCUGUGGCAGAUUCAUGCUGACGUAUGGCAAAACCAAUACAAUAUUGUAAAGU